rnacentral:lncRNA from 1 species
UUUUUUUUGCUUCUCCUAUUACUAUAUUAUGCAAAUGCUAAUUUUGCCAUGUAAUUUCUAUAUGCCUUGUGUUCACCCAAGAGAUCUAUGGUGGCAUUUUUAGCCUUGAGAUGAACUACUAGCCCACGAUUAAAAUCACGUUAAGUGAAUGGUGCAACUUGCUAAUCAUUCUUACUCUGGAGUUCCCAGCUAAAGCUUUUCUCAUAAUUUAUUUUUCCAGGAGGAUUUGUAUAUGUUUCUGUCAGUCUAUUCUGGAGCAAGGCAGGUUACAGAGGCACUUUGAUUCAUGGCUGGACGUGGAUUAUUUUAAGUAGAAAGAAAAAGGAGUGUUGGUUUUAACAGCCUUGCACUGUCAUCUUGCGGUUGCAGUGCUCAGUUCCUCACCCUUAUUUGGAAAUGCCUUGAACAAGAAUUCUAUUUGAGCAGGAAGAAACAGUGAUAGCCCCACUCCUAGGGUUUUGGUUUGUUUGGAGGCCUCCUUCCUGACGUUCUCAAGACAAGCCAAAGUGACCUUGCCAACUGUUUCCAUUUCAGUUUUUUCCAUGUCCUUUCUUUGUGAGAGGAAAGCGUCACCUCCUCCAUAAAACCAUCAUUAUUUAGAAGACUUCAUCUCCUCCAGACUUACAGCGCUUCCACUCAGAACACAUGCUCUAAGACAAGUUUUCAGGGCAGUGUUAUGCACAGUCCUCCUUCCUGCCUGAGCUCUGAAGAGGCAAUGCUCUGCCACCACCAGCCCCAGGUGAGGGACACAUCUGUUUCUCAGAUGAGGCAAAUCACUUACAACAUCUUCUUGGCUUUACCCACUACUCUCAACUUGCAAAAAGCAAUCCUUUAUGCCUCUUUUCUGGACUGCUCAAGACUCCAAGCAUGGGAUUAUCCUUGUAGACCCUUACAAAAGUUAAUUUCCUGAGCUUCUCCAAGAGACAAAAGAAAGCCCUGAGCCAGGCUUCCCUUCAUCUCCAGCAGUGCUGCUCCCAGCCAGAAAGCUGGUCUCCUACCUGCUUCCUUCUAUCUUCCUGUUGGAUGAAAAGAAACCAUAUUCUGCAAAGAUAGCCCAAAUCCAUGCCCUCCCAGCGAAGCCUGGCCAAAUCACCUAUCAGUGAGUGACCAGAAAUGAGGGAAUCAACCUAACUAGUUACUUGGAUGUGUGCAGCAGGAUGUUACCCUAAACUAUAGAUUGCAAAUGUUGCAUCCCUGUCCUCCUCAACAGGCAAUACUUAGAUCUCCUUUUAUACAAAAUCCUCCUUACCAUUUUACCAAUGACAGCUUACAUUUUUAAGCUUAAUCAAAAGCUUAAAAAUCUACAUUGUUUCUAUUUGUGCCAUUCACAAAUAUGUCGCAAUUUAGAGGUAAAAAAUCCUCAUAAGGUCACUCUUGUUACAUUCAGUUUCAGCAUCUCUAUUUGGGCUGCCAAUACCUUGAGGAAAUGUUUAUUUUUACAGAAACCACAGUUAACAUUAAGAUUUAGGGGCAAAAAAUAAAAAACGGGUUUCUAAGGGACUUAGUUUAGUACUUGGGGAAAAACCCACUCCAUUUUGAUUAGAAUUGUAUUACUGUCGCUCCCUUGAAUGAAAUGUAGAGUAUGAAAAAUUAACCGCCCAUUUUUGGAAAGAACUGCCUUACAGCAUAAAAUGUUGUAAACCAUAUUUAUUUCAACUUUUCUUUAACAUCUGAAAAUUGUCAUGAUUUUGCAGACAGAUAAGAUUUGUUUAUCAGCCCAAAAUCUUACUGCCAGCAGAGGGAUCAUCUAUGGGGUUUGGAGUCCAUUAAAGCUCCAUUCAGAAGAUCUGAGAGGGCUAUACUCUGGAACUCCCAAAAUACAAGAAAUUUAUGCAAGAUUUUUUUUUUCAGCUGUAAGGGAUUUUAAAGGGUAAGAAUUAUCUAUUUUGUCCUCACACUUUCAAAAUGACUACAUUUUAGUUUAGCUUCAGGAGAAAAAAAAACUUCUUCAGAGAUAAAAUGUAAAACCACUUCAGAAAGAGGAUUGCAAAAUAACGGGGUAGUAUGGAAAUUUCGGGAGCUGAGAGUUGCCAGAAGUGUGACUACUGCUAUCAAACAAAUGGACUGAAAACUCAGACUCACAAAGCCAUUCAGGUUGGGAAAUACCUCCAAGGCCAUCGAGUCCAGCCUGUGACUGAUCCCCACCUCAUCACCCAGACCAGAGCACUCAGUGCCAUAUCCAGUCACUCCUUGGACACCUCUAGGGACGGGAACUUCACCACCUCUCUGGGCCAUCCUUGGUGAAGA